GCCAGGCACAGUGGCGCAUGCCUGUAAUCCCAGCAGCGGGGGAGGCUGAGGCAGGAGGGUCAUGAGCUCAAAACCAGACUUGGCAAAAGCAAGACACUAAGCAACUCAGUGAGACCCUGUCUCUA
rnacentral:sRNA from 1 species